rnacentral:pre_miRNA from 1 species
AUGCCAGUUUUUCACUCAUGCAUGGAUGCUUUUCAGUUAACAUGUAGAACUACAAGCAGCAACCACCAUGCUUCAGCAUAAAUAUGGUAGAUGGUGACUUAAGAUAACGGUUCAAUGCUUAUGAAUGAGACUUUCCUCUGUGUCUCUGUGUGUAUGUAUGAGUGCGAAAUUGAGAGAGAGAAACAGAGAAGUCCAAUGAUGGCGAGUUAGAUAAUGCCAGUUUUCCAGUCAUGCAUGGAUGCCUUCCCAAGGGUGCGAAAGCGAAAAGUUGUUGAACUAUCUGAAAUCCUGCUGAUGCAUGGUGGUUGCUACUUGUAGUUAUGCAUGUUAACCAAAA